UACGGAGGGUGCAAGCGUUAUCCGGAUUUACUGGGUUUAAAGGGUGCGUAGGCGGGCCUUUAAGUCAGUGGUGAAAGCUCCGAGCUUAACUCGGAAACUGCCAUUGAUACUAUUGGUCUUGAAUUCGGUCGAGGUUGGCGGAAUGUGUCGUGUAGCGGUGAAAUGCUUAGAUAUGACAUAGAACACCAAUUGCGAAGGCAGCUCACUACACAAUCAUUGACGCUGAGGCACGAAAGCGUGGGGAUCAAACAGG
rnacentral:rRNA from 1 species